rnacentral:lncRNA from 1 species
AAAAAAUAAAGAACAAGUUGCAACUAUAUUUUCAAAAUUUAAAAAAAUAAUUAAAAAAGAAAUUAUAGUUGCAAUUUGUUCUUCAUUUUUGUUUAUUUAAAGAAGAGUGUAUAUUUGUCAUUUUAUAGCUUUUAAUUAAGAAAAUGGAUGAACAUAACGAUUUUUGCAAUAAAAUAUAAAAAUAAGUGUGAAAAUUUCAAAAAAUGAAAGAAGGAACGAUUUGCACAAUAAUAAUGAAAGGUAUGGACAAUUUUGCUAAUUACUCUUUUAAUAAUUUACUUGGACUCAUUUGCUUUUUUAAAAAAGUUUGGGAGCAUGAUUUCAAUUUAUUCUUUAACUUUUCUUUUCUUUUUUAUUGUUUUAUUUAAAUAUGGGAUACAUUUGUCAUUUUACAUGAGAAUUUUGAUGAAAAUGAUGAUUUCCACAAUAAAAAAUGGAGGUAUGGAUAAAAGUGUCAAAAAAAUGAAAGUUAGGGACGUUUUGCACAAUAACAUUGAAAUGUAAAGACUUUCUACUAAUUACCCUUUAUGUUUUACAAAUAGAUUUAAUAAUCUGUUUUCAGCAACAAAAACAAAAAUACAUCAUAUAACCUGUACUAAUAGGUGGCUUGCCGAAUCUCGUCAGCUAGCUCUUUCGGGCUUGAGAUUGGCUCGCGUGAACAAAUUCAAUAUCGGCUUGGGCUCGAGCUCGGUUCAAUUCGAGCCCAAGACACUCAUGUACCCAAGUUUAUUGAGCUGCCUGGGUCGAUUGCCAUCACUAGGUCCAAAGUUCAAUUCAUUCAAUCUCAUGCUUCCAGUAUUGCUAAUAUAAGGACUUAUUUGCAGCUUCUGAAUUUGUGGAAGCCAUAGCCAUAAUGAUUGUUUCCUAUCAAGCCCGUCACAUGUACAAGGGGCUUGCCGAUCUCAUUCCAGAUAUCGAUGCUUUAUACUCCGAGGAAGCCCAGUAUCAAGUUAGAACAUAAUCGCAAACUUUGUAUUGUUGUCGGAUUUUACCCGCACUCAUGCCUCCUGUUUAAAUAGAGAUGAAUAUAUACUCAUUUUCUUGCAUCUUUGACAUUUUCCCACUACUUUGCCUUUAUCUUUGACCUUGUCCCUUUGUAGAUUUUGUUCGUGUUCAUCAUAUUUAUCGAAAGUAGAGGAAAAGAUUGUGAAUUUGCGAGAUGAUCUAUGUAUGAUUUUCACUUUCAGAUUGCAGAAGAUCUGUUGGUACUCCUUUUGUGUAACGUGCUUUUUUAUAAUUCAACAGAUUUGUUAAUUUAUAAUCUUUUACAUGAUGAAUUCUCAUCCAACAAGUAUGGCUAUAAUAAUAGAUCAUUCUUCAAAUUUGUGACGAAAAGGCAGAAUUAAAACAUGUUAUUGGGAUUACAAUACACAUCCGAAAGCUUAUUUCAAGUGAUUGGAAACGUUAACUGAUGAUGCUUGGAUUAAACAUAUAUAAUCCCUCCCAAAGUUUUGGUGGAAUGCACAACAUCUCAACUAAUGAACGUAGCAAAGUUUCGUUUAUUCUAAAUCCAAACCCAUCAAGCAAAACAAACAAAACAUAAUUGUCAAGCAGGCUCCUUUCCUUUUGUGUUCUUUAGUGGUGGCCUGGGCACGCUGGAGGAGGAGCAGACUGUGGUGGUGGUAGUUUUGGAGUGGGGGAAGUAAAUAGCUAAGGUUUGCUGAUGUUCAACGUCGGCAUAAAUGUUUUGGAGGCACCGGCCGAAGGUGAAUAUCUUUUCAUUUUUAAGGGAGGAAACUGGAGAGUUUUUGGAUAGGGUUUGUAGGAUUGGUUUCAAUUUUGGGGAACACAAAGAUGCGGUGGUGGGUUUGCAUGAUUUCAUUUUGUUUUUCCUUUU